GGGUCAGUAGGUUGGUCGUGCCUCCGGUACGUACUGGUCUCACUGAUUCCUCCUUCCUGAAGAACCGUAAUGCCAUUAAUUUGGUGUUGCGGGGAAACAGGACUGUUACUUUGAAAAAAUUAGAGUGUUUAAAGCAAGCUAACGCUUGAAUACAUUAGCAUGGAAUAAUGAAAUAGGACGAUCGAUCCUAUUUUGUUGGCUUCUAGGAUUGACGUA
rnacentral:rRNA from 1 species